rnacentral:tRNA from 1 species
GCGAUAUUCGCCAAGGGGUAAGGCAUCAGGUUUCCAACCUGACAUUCAUCGGUUCGAAUCCGAUAUAUCGCUCCA